UACGUAGGGAGCAAGCGUUGUCCGGAAUCAUUGGGCGUAAAGAGCGUGUAGGCGGCCCGGUAAGUCCGCCGUGAAAGUCCAGGGCUCAACCCUGGAAUGCCGGUGGAAACUGCCGGGCUGGAGUCCGGAAGAGGCGAGUGGAAUUCCUGGUGUAGCGGUGAAAUGCGCAGAUAUCAGGAGGAACACCAAUGGCGAAGGCAGCUCGCUGGGACGGUACUGACGCUGAGACGCGAAAGCGUGGGGAGCAAACAGG
rnacentral:rRNA from 1 species